rnacentral:rRNA from 1 species
AUGUAUCAACACACAAGGGCGACCAUCACCUUUGUCUUGUUGUCUUGUUCAUGCAAGACUUGGAAUGAAGUCAUUCAACCUCUCUAUGACAAGCGUUACAUUCCCUGUUCACAAAUCUUUAUAUGUAGAAGCAUCAUCUCUUUAUCCUCUGUUUGCCAUUCUUUUCCUGAAAAGAAAUAUCAUCUCAGAAUUAGUACAAGUGUUAUGCAAUCUGAAAUAGAAGAACAAAGAGGCACUCUGCAGGAAUACUUAAAUAUAAAAGACAUAAUUAGCAAUAGUGCGUCUUAUGCACAGGGCAAGCCUGAAGUAGAGGAACAUUACAAAAUAUUAAAAGAGGUAUUUAAGCUACAUAUUUAUCCUUCUUAA